AUGAACGCUGGCGGCGUGCCUCAUACAUGCAAGUCGAGCGAACGGACGAGAAGCUUGCUUCUCUGAUGUUAGCGGCGGACGGGUGAGUAACACGUGGCUAACCUACCUAUAAGACUGGGAUAACUUCGGGAAACCGUAGCUAAUACCGGAUAAUAUUUUGAACCGCAUGGUUCAAAGGUGAAAGACGGUCUUGCUGUCACUUAUAGAUGGAUCCGCGCUGCAUUAGCUAGUUGGUAAGGUAACGGCUUACCAAGGCAACGAUGCAUAGCCGACCUGAGAGGGUGAUCGGCCACACUGGAACUGAGACACGGUCCAGACUCCUACGGGAGGCAGCAGUAGGGAAUCUUCCGCAAUGGGCGAAAGCCUGACGGAGCAACGCCGCGUGAGUGAUGAAGGUCUUCGGAUCGUAAAACUCUGUUAUUAGGGAAGAACAUAUGUGUAAGUAACUGUGCACAUCUUGACGGUACCUAAUCAGAAAGCCACGGCUAACUACGUG
rnacentral:rRNA from 1 species